rnacentral:rRNA from 1 species
CCUACGGGCGGCAGCAGUGGGGAAUAUUGCACAAUGGGGGAAACCCUGAUGCAGCGACGCCGCGUGAGUGAAGAUGUAUUUCGGUAUGUAAAGCUCUAUUAGCAGGGAAGAAAUAGCGACCUUUGGGUCGCCAGACGGUACCCGAGCAAGAAGCCCCGGCCAACAACGUGCCAGCAGCCGCGGUAAUACGUAGGGGUCAAGCGUUAUCCGGAUUUACUGGGUGUAAAGGGAUCGUAGACGGCAGCGAAAGUUCGGAGUGAAAUGCCGGGGCUUAACCCCGGAACUGCUAUGGAAACUGUGCAGCUAGAGUGCAGAAGAGGUGAGUGGAAUGCGUGGUGUAGCGGUGAAAUGCGUAGAUAUUAGGAAGAACACCAGUGGCGAAGGCAGCUUACGGGACUGUAACUGACGUUGAGGCUCGAAAGCGUGGGUAUCAAACAGGAUUAGAUACCCUAGUAGUC